rnacentral:sRNA from 1 species
CAAUAGCCCUGAUGGAAGUGACAUCCCACGCUUUUUGGCGUGGAUACAACGUACAGCAGGAGCAGAG